UCGAAACCUGCAUAGCAGAACACGACCUGUGAACAUGUAAAAACAAUCGGGUGUUCUAAGUAUCGGGCUCUUGUCCGAUUUAUAGGGUGCCAUGUUGACGUACGUCUUUGCAAGCCCCUUGGGUUUCUAAGGACGUCAUGUCGGCGCAACAAUAAACCCCCGGCACGGCAUGUGCCAAGGAAAUAUAAACUUAAGAAGAGCUUGUUCCGUGCUUUGCCGUUCGCGGUGAUUGCAUUGAAUCUUGCUUCUUUAUAAUCA
rnacentral:misc_RNA from 1 species